GCUGCCCAAGCCUGUGAUUGUCAGACUCUUAUCGGAAUUUGGAGGAAUUAAUGAGCUGCGAGGAUUUGGAUGGAAAGUGGUCAGGUGUUGUAAUUGGAGUGUAAAGAGCUGAUAACAGAUUGACGAUGAGCAUAAUAAAAUCUUCAAAAAUGGACUUCCAAUUCGUUUCCAUUAGUCACCAGCUUAAUGUUAAAGGGAAACGGAACAAACAGGUGGGUGGGUGUGUGCUCGCGUACCACAUGAAUGAAGGCUGUUUGAACUUUUAUUGUCGAAGGCAGGCUUGUGUAAGUAGCCAUCUGUGUACAAAUAUUGAACAUGAACAGCUGAUUAGUCUUCAUGUAUGAACUUGCUUUGGUGUACUGUACAUCUAUAUUGACUAGAAAUUCUCUUAACAUGUGUAACAGGAAAGAACUCAAAAGAGAUUGUGUCGUGUGAUGCAGUUGUAAAAAAUAAGGUGAGGGAAAAAGCUUCUCAAGCUCUUCCUUGACCACAACAGAGCAACAGAGAGAAGACCAUUGGUCCAGUACUGAUGCUGUAUAGACUGAAGGUCACUGAACUCAAUGCAGAUGAUAUGCUCAGCUGAUCAUACCACCCUCUGGUGAGCCUAUCUAUCCUGCUUGGUGCUGUUCCCAAAUGAGACUGUGAUGCCUCCUUUCAAUGGUGCAGGUAUAAAAUUUCCCUAGGGCAGUUUAAAAUCUCUUAAGCAUCUAAGGUGGUAAAGGUGCUGACAUGCCUUCCUCACCAGGGAGUUGAUGUGUAAUGACAGGUCCUGCAUUAUAUAGCCAAAUAUGUACCAGAAAGAUGCAAUCUUAAAUAAAUGAAAAUUUGCUGAUUGCUAUUUGCACACUUUGGCCAAAGCAUGCUUAAAACUGUUAAAACUGAGCCACCACCCCAGUACAAAUGAGUGCAUUAUAUUGUUUUGCAAUUCUUUGACUGUUGAAUAUUUGUGGAAAAUGUAAUUACAUUGUUAUAUAGUAUUUAACAUAAUAUGGAGUUAGUUUGUGCUUGUGUAAAUGAUUCUGUGAUUAAUUAUAAUUAUAAUAAUGUGAUUAAUUGUUAUGUUUGUAUCUACACAAGCAUUCUGUAACUGAGAUAUAUUGCAUUGCCUUAUUAUUUAUUGGAAUAUUUUGGAACUUUUAAAAAUAUUUGCUAGUGUGCUGAAAUCUGGGUUAGACAUCCUAUUGCCACUUUUGCUUUUACGAGCUAAACAAUGGUAAAAUUGAACAAGCUAGUGUUCAUUUCUUGUUGAUGCAUUGGGCAUGUUUAUCCUCGUUUGUCUUUUUCAGGUUCUCAAGUUCUCUGUACACUUACUUCUUGUUUCUACUUUCAAGUUGCAAUGUCUGUCUUUUUCAGUCCAAAAUCAAAUAAAUGAAAAAAUGUUCAGAGCUUUG